rnacentral:rRNA from 1 species
GGGUUGUGAGGUUAAGCGACUAAGCGUACACGGUGGAUGCCCUGGCAGUCAGAGGCGAUGAAGGGCGUGCUAAUCUGCGAUAAGCGCCGGUAAGGUGAUAUGAACCGUUAUAACCGGCGAUACCCGAAUGGGGAAACCCAGUGUGAUUCGUCACACUAUCAUUAACUGAAUCCAUAGGUUAAUGAGGCGAACCGGGGGAACUGAAACAUCUAAGUACCCCGAGGAAAAGAAAUCAACCGAGAUUCCCCCAGUAGCGGCGAGCGAACGGGGAGGAGCCCAGAGCCUGAAUCAGCAUGUGUGUUAGUGGAAGUGUCUGGAAAGG